CAGUGUUUCCCUGCUCGGGUGGGUCACACGUGUCCUCUCCGGGUGUGCCGGUGGCUGCGCAGGUUCAGGUCUCUCUCCCGGAGGAUGCUCCGGCUGCCUGCUCGGCAGUGCACGGCUGGAGACUGACAACUAAUGAUGCAGAGAUGCUGCAGGAAAAGCUCCUAUAGGUACCACGGUCUGGCCACCUACAUCUGCAGAUGGCAGUGGGGAGUCUUCAGUGGAAAAGACUGUAAAAUGGGAGUUCUGGGAGAGCAUAGGUGAUUUUGGGAAGACAAGGCUGGAGGAACUGUGUGUGUGUGUGCUGGUAACAGACUUUGUGUCCAGGAAGAGUAACAGAAAGGUUACAAAAAGGGGGACCUGCUGCCAGGAGACCCUCCAAGCUUCUGCAUUGAAGGUUGAGAAUGACAGCUCUGUGAGUGCUGCAGGGAGGAACAUGAAGGAGGAGGCUGCUACGAGACACUUUCCAUUUUGUGGGAGCUACCUGGGAGCUACCUGGCUACAUCUUUUCCUCACCUUUGAGAUUUGCCACCUGUGAAUUUUAGCUCUGAAAUUUGCUGUCAGGAUACCGUUGUGCUUCUGCUCCGCUGGAAGACCCUUUGCGUCAUAUUGGCAAUAGCAUCUGAUUGUUGCACUUUGAUAUCACUGAAUAGAGUGCUGUGUGGGAGAGCCUUGUCCAGCCCCAGUGCACACAGAGUGAUGGGAGGUCCUGCCCUGGACUUUCAGAAAGGCUGUAAUUAGCAUGGAAAGGAAAGACCAACUGUUGUUUGAAAAUGUUAGUGCUAAAGGUCUCCUUUAAGCUGGUUUCUGUAGUA